rnacentral:rRNA from 1 species
GAUGAACGCUGGCGGCGUGCCUAAUACAUGCAAGUCGAGCGAAUGGAUUAAGAGCUUGCUCUUAUGAAGUUAGCGGCGGACGGGUGAGUAACACGUGGGUAACCUGCCCACAAGACUGGGAUAACUCCGGGAAACCGGGGCUAAUACCGGAUAAUAUUUUGAACUGCAUGGUUCAAAAUUGAAAGGCGGCUUCGGCUGUCACUUAUGGAUGGACCCGGGUCGCAUUAGCUAGUUGGUGAGGUAACGGCUCACCAAGGCAACGAUGCGUAGCCGACCUGAGAGGGUGAUCGGCCACACUGGGACUGAGACACGGCCCAGACUCCUACGGGAGGCAGCAGUAGGGAAUCUUCCGCAAUGGACGAAAGUCUGACGGAGCAACGCCGCGUGAGUGAUGAAGGCUUUCGGGUCGUAAAACUCUGUUGUUAGGGAAGAACAAGUGCUAGUUGAAUAAGCUGGCACCUUGACGGUACCUGACCAGAAAGCCACGGCUAACUACGUGCCAGCCGCCGCCGUAA